UGGACAGAUUAUUGUAUUCGACUGUAGUGGAACAGGGGAUUACACUGUUUAUAAACGGAAACUGAAUCAAUUAACAUAAUAGACUCCU
rnacentral:pre_miRNA from 1 species